GCUCUUGGCAACGAGGCUGCAGCACCCGGCCUCCUGCCUGCCGGAGCGUGGGCGGCCAGCUCCGACUGCUUCCAGGAUUUGGGGCCAGCGCCACUUUCUGUGGAGCCCCAGCCCUGCCCCCGCGGGACCUGGGAUGGAAGCCAGGGCCUCUGCAGAGCAUGCAGCCCACCCCAUUUUACAGACACAGCAAGAAGGCAUUGUCUGCAAACCAGAAGAAGAGCCCUUACUAGAACCUGGCCAUGCUGACACCUGCUACUGGACUUCUCAACUUGCAGGAUGGCGAGAGAGUUUUCUUGUUCAUAAACAGCCAGGCUAUGAUAUUUUGUUAAACCAGCUCAAAUGGACUGAGACGCCAUAUUGUCUAACCCUUCGUCCUUUGAGCCAACAACCUUGGUUCAGUAACUGCAUAUACACUGGGCCAGUUUUGACCACUGAAGCCAAUGCUGACUGCCCCAGAGGCAGACAUGAGACUCUUCUGGGACUUUCAUGGUUGUGUGAUGGCCACCUGGGACAGUUCCCUCAUUUGGACACCGAUGCUAGCUCUGGGCCUACAUUCCCCACCUGUCAGAACAUUGCAGGUGAAGGUUUCCAGGUAGAGACCAAAGAAACUUCCCCCAUGGCCCACGGGCCCACCAGGGGAUGGGACAGGGGCUGUCUCAGGAGCUCUGACCUUAACCUCCUGCAAGACUCCACUGUCCAGACAUUUUGGGAGUAUGAAAGAUCAUUAUGGUUCUUGCCAAGAAUGCAGCUCUUGGAAAGAAGGGGCCUCCCAUCCAGUUUCCCAAGAUAAAACUUGGUCUGUAGGGGACUCACUGGGAGCCAAGGGCCUUCCCUGCUAUUACCCUGAAAAUAGAGCCUUGGCCCAAGGGUCCUAAUUUUCCAUGGAGUCUUGGGGUUUAGAUGUUCCCCUCGAGAUAGAUCUAGCCCCAUGCCUUCAUUACUCAAUGUCUAGAGAGAGGGAAAUGAUGGCACAAGCAAGGGAUAGGGACAAGGUCCAGAGUCAAAGGGUAGGGAAGGGUGUCAAGUCCCAUCCCUGUUACUCCCAAGCUAUGCAAUGACAGACAAAUCACACCACUUCCCUGAGCCUCAGUCUUCCCAUCUGUAAAAUGGAGCUUGGGUGAUCAACUACUGUAAAUUCCUCCAACAGUUUUUUACGUCUUAGGAGAAGGACCAUGCCAAACUCUUGUUUCUCUCCCAUGUUCCUAGCACAGAACCUGGAAGAGUAGUCCUGUCCUCAUCAUAGGGUAGAAGCAAACCGUCAGGUGAUCCAGCAUGUACUCAUUUCGCUCAUGAAUUCAUGCACUUGUUCAACCAAGAUGCACUGUCAUCAUCUCUAUGCAGAGGACCCAGCAGUGAGGGGGACAGAGUGGUGGGAUAGGACAGGUGAUCACCACGCACCAGAAUGUGGGAAGCACAGGGCGCAGAGCCCCGUGGGCACCUCAGUUUCAUAGAACCCAAGAAAUCUUCCUUGAGAAGGUGCUGAUUCAGUCAAGACCUCAGAGAUAUGAAGAUCGAACGGAAACAAAAGAAGUAGGAUUAGAGUUCCAGGAAGUAGAAGGAGAGAAGAACCACCUGGAGGGGCUCAUGUGAUCCCCUCCUCCAUAUCUGUUUCACCAAGAAACCACCUUACCCCAGCAGAGACCCGCAGGGCGGUUCAGGACCACGGAGAGCACCACAGUGACAUGGUGGCCACCUGCUCUUGCUAAC